CCCUUUGAUACUCUGGGUGGUACGCGCGCUACACUGGUUUAUAUAACGUGUAAUUUGGACGAUAGUCUGUAUAAAUCACUAAUAUAAAACCGUGAAUGGGAUAGUUUAUUGCAACUUACAAACUUUAACUAGGAAUCCCUUGUAGAAGUAGUGAAUUAUACUGCUUCGAAUACGUCCCUGCCGAUUGUACACACCGCCCGUCGUUUCUUCCGACUGGUACUCAUUGUGAAUUGCGAGGAGAUUCUGUCAAAUCGUUGUAAAUGCUGGGUAUUGGAGGAAGAAAAAGUCGUAACA
rnacentral:rRNA from 1 species